rfam:Loxodonta africana unplaced genomic scaffold scaffold_44, whole genome shotgun sequence.
CCAAAGGCCCUUUUAAGGGCCACCCACUGAUUUACAGGAGGAGCUG